UACGUAUGGUGCAAGCGUUAUUCGGAUUUAUUGGGCGUAAAGGGUCCGUAGGCGGUUUGUUAAGUCUGAUGUGAAAUCCUAUGGCUCAACCAUAGAACUGCAUUGGAAACUGAUGAACUAGAGUACUGGAGAGGUGAGCGGAAUACCUGGUGUAGCGGUGGAAUGCGUAGAUAUCAGGUGGAACACCAAGAGCGAAGGCAGCUCACUGGACAGUCACUGACGCUGAGGGACGAAGGCAUGGGGAGCGAAAAGG
rnacentral:rRNA from 1 species